rnacentral:rRNA from 1 species
CAGCCGCCGCGGGAACACGUAGGGUGCAAGCGUUAAUCGGAAUUACUGGGCGUAAAGCGUGCGCAGGCGGUUAUAUAAGACAGAUGUGAAAUCCCCGGGCUCAACCUGGGACCUGCAUUUGUGACUGUAUAGCUAGAGUACGGUAGAGGGGGAUGGAAUUCCGCGUGUAGCAGUGAAAUGCGUAGAUAUGCGGAGGAACACCGAUGGCGAGGGCAAUCCCCUGGACCUGUACUGACGCUCAUGCACGAAAGCGUGGGGAGCAAACAGGAUUAGAUACCCCAGUAGUCCCUGUCUCUUAUAA